GUGUACGGCCAUACCACCCUGAACGUGCCCAAUCUCAUCUGAUCUUGGAAAAGACACAGCACUCGUGCCCUUUUGCUUUCUUCUACCAUGUUAGGAUGCAGAAGACG
rnacentral:rRNA from 1 species